AGAGUUUGAUCCUGGCUCAGAACGAACGCUGGCGGCAGGCUUAACACAUGCAAGUUGAACGGGAUUUGUAUGGUGCUUGCACCAUGUAAUGAGAGUAGCGCACUGGUGAGUAACACGUGGGAACAUACCUUGAAGUGGGGGACAACAGUUGGAAACGACUGCUAAUACCGCAUAAUCCCUGAGGGGGAAAGAUUUAUCGCUUUAAGAUUGGCCCGCGGAAGAUUAGGUAGUUGGUGGGGUAAAGGCCUACCAAGCCGACGAUCUAUAGCUGGUCUGAGAGGACGAACAGCCACAUUGGAACUGAGACACGGUCCAGACUCCUACGGGAGGCAGCAGUGAGGAAUAUUGGGCAAUGGAGGAAACUCUGACCCAGCCAUGCCGCGUGAGUGAAGAAGGUUUUCGAAUUGUAAAGCUCUUUCGGAUGGGACGAUGAUGACGGUACCAUCUAAAGAAGCCCCGGCAAACUUCGUGCCAGCAGCCGCGGUAAUACGAAGGGGGCAAGCGUUGUUCGGAAUUACUGGGCGUAAAGGGUGUGUAGGCGGAUUUGUAAGAUAGUGGUGAAAUACCUGAGCUCAACUUAGGAAUUGCCAUUAUAACUAUAGAUCUGGAGUGACAGAGAGGAUAUUGGAAUACCCAGUGUAGAGGUGAAAUUCGUAGAUAUUGGGUAGAACACCAGUGGCGAAGGCGAGUAUCUGGCUGUCAACUGACGCUGAGGCACGAAAGCAUGGGGAUCAAACAGGAUUAGAUACCCUGGUAGUCCAUGCUGUAAACGAUGAAUGCUAGUUGUCGGCAAAAGCCGGUGACGCAGUUAACGCGAUAAGCAUUCCGCCUGGGGAGUACGGUCGCAAGAUUAAAACUCAAAGGAAUUGACGGGGACCCG
rnacentral:rRNA from 2 species